UUCUGCGCGAGGGAUAGUAGUGAAAACCCCACAGCGAGGAACGAGCGAGGAGUUGUAGCGGAUAGCCCGACCGCGG
rnacentral:misc_RNA from 1 species